GAUGAACGCUGGCGGCGUGCCUAAUACAUGCAAGUCGAGCGAACAGACGAGGAGCUUGCUCCUCUGACGUUAGCGGCGGACGGGUGAGUAACACGUGGAUAACCUACCUAUAAGACUGGGAUAACUUCGGGAAACCGGAGCUAAUACCGGAUAAUAUAUUGAACCGCAUGGUUCAAUAGUGAAAGACGGUUUUGCUGUCACUUAUAGAUGGAUCCGCGCCGCAUUGGCUAGUUGGUAAGGUAACAGCUUACCAAGGCAACGAUGCGUAGCCGACCUGAGAGGGUGAUCGGCCACACUGGAACUGAGACACGGUCCAGACUCCUACGGGAGGCAGCAGUAGGGAAUCUUCCGCAAUGGGCGAAAGCCUGACGGAGCAACGCCGCGUGAGUGAUGAAGGUCUUCGGAUCGUAAAACUCUGUUAUUAGGGAAGAACAAAUGUGUAAGUAACUAUGCACGUCUUGACGGUACCUAAUCAGAAAGCCACGGCUAACUACGUG
rnacentral:rRNA from 1 species